rnacentral:rRNA from 1 species
CAGUCGCCGCGGUAAUACGUAGGGUGCAAGCGUUAAUCGGAAUUACCGGGCGUAAAGCGUGCGCAGGCGGUUUGUUAAGACAGAUGUGAAAUCCCCGGGCUCAACCUGGGAACUGCAUUUGUGACUGGCAAGCUAGAGUCUGGCAGAGGGGGGUGGAAUUCCGCGUGUAGCAGUGAAAUGCGUAGAUAUGCGGAGGAACACCGAUGGCGAAGGCAGCCCCCUGGGCCAACACUGACGCUCAUGCACGAAAGCGUGGGGAGCAAACAGGAUUAGAUACCCCUGUAGUCCCUGUCUCUUAUAC